GUGCCCGUGGCUCAAUGGUAGAGCAUUCGACUCAAAUACCAAAGGUCGCGGGUUCGAAUCCCAGGUGUA
rnacentral:tRNA from 1 species